rnacentral:rRNA from 1 species
GACGAACGCUGGCGGCGUGCCUAAUACAUGCAAGUAGAACGCUUAAGAGAGGAGCUUGCUCUUCUUGGCUGAGUUGCGAACGGGUGAGUAACGCGUAGGUAACCUGCCUUGUAGCGGGGGAUAACCAUUGGAAACGAUAGCUAAUACCGCAUAACAUUCGAUGACAUAUGUCAUUUAUUUGAAACGGGCAAUUGCUCCACUAACAGACGGACCUUCGUUGUAUUAGCUAGUAGGUGAGGUAAUGGCUCACCUAGGCGUCGGUACAUAGCCUACCUGAGCGGGUGAGCAGCCACACUGAGACUGAGACACGCCCCAGACUCAUACAGGAGGCGGCCGGAGGGGAACUUCGGCAAGGGGGGCAAGACUGACCGAGCGACGCGGCAAGAGAGAAGAAGGUUGUCGGCUCGUAAAGCUCGGUUGUAAGUCAAGAACGGGUGUGAGAGUGGAAAGUUCACACUGUGACGGUAGCUUACCAGAAAGGGAGGGCUAACUACGUG